UAGUAACUGCGAGUGAAGCGGGAAAAGCUCAAAUUUAAAAUCUGGCAGCCUUCGGUUGUCCGAGUUGUAGUCUGGAGAAGUGCUUUCCGCGCUGGACCGUGUACAAGUCUCUUGGAACAGAGCGUCAUAGAGGGUGAGAAUCCCGUCUUUGACACGGACUACCAGUGCUUUGUGAUGCGCUCUCAAAGAGUCGAGUUGUUUGGGAAUGCAGCUCAAAAUGGGUGGUAAAUUCCAUCUAAAGCUAAAUAUUGGCGAGAGACCGAUAGCGAACAAGUACCGUGAGGGAAAGAUGAAAAGCACUUUGGAAAGAGAGUUAAACAGUACGUGAAAUUGCUGAAAGGGAAACACUUGAAGUCAGUCGCGUCUUCUAGAACUCAGCCUUGCUUUUUGCUCGGUGCACUUUCUAGUUUGACGGGCCAGCAUCGAUUUUGACUGUUGGAUAAAGGGUAGAGGAAUGUGGCAUCUUCGGAUGUGUUAUAGCCUCUGCUCACAUACAAUGGUUGGGAUCGAGGAACUCAGCACGCCUUUAUGGUCGGGGUUCGCCCACGUUCGUGCUUAGGAUGCUGGCGUAAUGGCUUUAAAUGACCCGUCUUGAAACACGGACCAAGGAGUCUAACAUGCCUGCGAGUAUUUGGGUGGUAAACCCGAGUGCGCAAUGAAAGUGAAAGUUGAGACCUCUGUCGUGGAGGGCAUCGACGCCCGGAUCAGACCUUCUGUGACGAUUCCGCGGUAGAGCAUGUAUGUUGGGACCCGAAAGAUGGUGAACUAUGCCUGAAUAGGGUGAAGCCAGAGGAAACUCUGGUGGAGGCUCGUAGCGAUUCUGACGUGCAAAUCGAUCGUCAAAUUUGGG
rnacentral:rRNA from 1 species